rnacentral:rRNA from 1 species
UACGUAGGGUGCGAGCGUUAAUCGGAAUUACUGGGCGUAAAGGGUGCGCAGGCGGUUAUAUAAGACAGAUGUGAAAUCCCCGGGCUCAACCUGGGAACUGCGUUUGUGACUGUAUGACUAGAGUACGGUAGAGAGGGGUGGAAUUCCUGGUGUAGCAGUGAAAUGCGUAGAUAUCUGGAGGAACACCGGUGGCGAAGGCGGCUCACUGGCCCGGUACUGACGCUGAGGUGCGAAAGCGUGGGGAGCAAACAGG